rnacentral:rRNA from 1 species
GACGAACGCUGGCGGCGUGCUUAACACAUGCAAGUCGAACGGUGAAGCGCCUUCCUUUUUGGUGGGUGUGGAUGAGUGGCGAACGGGUGAGUAACACGUGAGUAACCUGCCCCCUUCUUCUGGAUAACCGCAUGAAAGUGUGGCUAAUACGGGAUAUUCUGGGUCUGUCGCAUGAUGGGUCUGGGAAAGAUAUUGUUUCGGUGGGGGAUGGGCUCGCGGCCUAUCAGCUUGUUGGUGGGGUGAUGGCCUACCAAGGCGGUGACGGGUAGCCGGCCUGAGAGGGUCGACGGUACCACUGGGGAGGGGACACCGGCCCGACUCCCAAGGGGGGCAGGAGGGGGGAAUAUUGGACAAUGGGGGGCAGGCCGGUGCAGCGGCGCCGGGUUGGGGAUGGAGGCCCUUGGGUUGGGAACCCCUUUUGGCAGGGAAGCAGGGCCUCCUUGUUUGGGGGUGGGUUGACGGUAGCUGGAUAAGAAGCGCCGGCUAACUACGUG